UACGAAGGGGGCUAGCGUUGUUCGGAUUUACUGGGCGUAAAAGCGCACGUAGGCGGAUCGUUAAGUCGGGGGGUGAAAUCCUGGAGCUCAACUCCAGAACUGCCUUCGAUACUGGCGAUCUUGAGUCCGGAAGAGGUGAGUGGAACUCCUAGUGUAGAGGUGGAAUUCGUAGAUAUUAGGAGGAACACCGGGUGGCGAAGGCGGGUCUCUGGGCCGAUACUGACGCUGAGGAGCGAAAGCGUGGGGAGCGAACAGG
rnacentral:rRNA from 1 species